CAUCAGCAAAAGAGUGACUAUUUUACCUCCAUUUGUUGCCAUUCUGAGACGUUGGCGGCCACUUUUGGCAGGUAUUCAUGAGCUUGCUUCUUCAGAUGAUCUGAAUCCCCUUGUUGUUGAUGACCGUGCUUUGGCAGCAGAUGCGCUGCCUCUUGAGGUUGCGGAGGGUACAAAAACAGCUAGUGCUUCACGUAUAAUUGGCGUAGAUAACGACAGCAAGAAUUUUGAUGUUGAUUUCAUGGAUUGAUGGAGAGAAAAUGGCAUAACAGGACACAUGUGCCAAUUUGACACAUUUGUAUGGGAUCCAGGACGUUCAUCAGAUGAGAAAAAAAUAAAAGUCGGGUUCGCAAUGCAGAUCAAAGUACACAACAUUGCAAUGUUUUGGAUGCUGGUCUAUGCACCUCCACCUAUUUUGGCUUUGAUACACAUACUCAUGGGUAGUAGAGGUGCAUGCUGGAUGACUUGGAUUAGUUGGACUUGGAUGGUUAGUCAUAUUUACUUAUGUUU